rnacentral:rRNA from 1 species
UACGUAGGGUGCAGGCGUUAAUCGGAAUUACUGGGCGUAAAGCGUGCGCAGGCGGCUUGCUAAGUCAGGUGUGAAAUCCCCGGGCUUAACCUGGGAACUGCGCUUGUUACUGGCAAGCUAGAGUGUGGCAGAGGGGGGUGGAAUUCCAGGUGUAGCAGUGAAAUGCGUAGAGAUCUGGAGGAACACCGAUGGCGAAGGCAAUCCCCUGGGCCUGCACUGACGCUCAUGCACGAAAGCGUGGGGAGCAAACAGG